GGGAAGUGUUUCUUCCCCGCCCCCCCAGUAAUCUUUCAGUGUUUUCAGACUGCUGGGAGAGUCGGUGUUUACCCCCACCUGAUGCAACCUCCAGCAUGGACUGCGAGUCCUUUCAGGGCGGAGACUGUCUUGCUACGUGGAGAGAUGAACGCGCGAGGAUGACCCCCGCAGUGCUGUUUGGAUCAGAGAACAGAAGCCCCAUCAGCAGGGAGCAGUCAGAUGCCUCAUAGAGUAUCCUAAAUGCAGCGGAAGAUGCAAUAUUCUCAGCUGUUCAGUGAGAAAGAGGCAGAGCUUCACACUGAUCCAAGAGGAUCUUUAAAACCUGUUGUUUA